rnacentral:rRNA from 1 species
AGUGAACGCUAGCGGUAGGCCUAACACAUGCAAGUCGAACGGCAGCACAGAGGAGCUUGCUCCUUGGGUGGCGAGUGGCGGACGGGUGAGGAAUACAUCGGAAUCUACUCUGUCGUGGGGGAUAACGUAGGGAAACUUACGCUAAUACCGCAUACGACCUACGGGUGAAAGCAGGGGACCUUCGGGCCUUGCGCGAUUGAAUGAGCCGAUGUCGGAUUAGCUAGUUGGCGGGGUAAAGGCCCACCAAGGCGACGAUCCGUAGCUGGUCUGAGAGGAUGAUCAGCCACACUGGAACUGAGACACGGUCCAGACUCCUACGGGAGGCAGCAGUGGGGAAUAUUGGACAAUGGGCGCAAGCCUGAUCCAGCCAUACCGCGUGGGUGAAGAAGGCCUUCGGGUUGUAAAGCCCUUUUGUUGGGAAAGAAAUCCUGCUGGCUAAUACCCGGUUGGGAUGACGGUACCCAAAGAAUAAGCACCGGCUAACUUCGUGCCAGCCGCCGCGGUAA